GCAUAGGAUGGGGUACUGGCAGCACAGAUGACUUGUAGUUAGAGACCUGCCCACACCUUCCACCUGACCUGCACCUGAGGCUAAGAUGCCAAGUAGUUGGGGAAAUAUGUCAGUGCACUGUUUAGGGCAGAUGUUGGUCCAAGGAGAGGGGUCUGGGUACACCCUCCCAGCACCAGAACGAGGCCCAGGACUGGGGGAGGAUUCUGAGCACAGCCUGUCCAGGGACCAUUCUCCUAGCUCCUAGCUGCCCAACCAACCCCUCAUGGACCCAUGCCAAACUGGAUGAAGAGAGGAGCCUGUAAUGAAUGGAAAAGAACAGUGAUGAACAGAACUGAGUGUUAGAGAUGCUGAAAGAGAUCAAGUUACCUGGUCACUCUGCCUCCUUGCCUAAUAAACAGGGCUUGAGGCUGGUGGCUUUGGCCCCUUAAAGCCCACUCCACUUGCCAUGCUUCAUAUGCCUAGAGCGCUAAACCAAUGUUUGGUUAGUUCGGAGCUCAGUCCCUCUCAUACUGGAUCUCUUCCAGCUCACACUCACUCUCAUCUUCCUGGCCAGGACUCAGCAAUACAUUUAGCCAGUUCUUAACUCAACCUAUUAGUCUUGAAUCUACUGGAGUCCUCGUGCCUCUGCCUGGAGGAAAGUGUGCAGGAGGAAGGAACAUAUUAUUUUCCAGCUCAAAGACGCUCUGGGCAGAGAAGUGACUGGGCCUUCAUAAGGUACUCAAUGGAGGCCAACCUGCAAUCAGGAGGGUGAUGCCUGAUCCUAACCAGUGAGUACUGGGAUGGUCAGGAGCACUCAAAUCUGUGUUAGCUCAGGUACAUCAGAAAGUGGAGCCUGAGGCAAGGGUUAAGUGCAGACCCUUCACUCAGGGGCUGCAAGCCCAGGGCAAUGACAGUGUAGAGAAAAUGGGAAGGGAGACAGGGACCAAUGUGAUAUGCAGGGUCAAAAUGCUGGCCAUCUCCUUGCAACAAGCAACAGAGCACAGCCUGAAGUGCAGCAGACAGGGCUUCCUAGCACUCAGGACUUCUCUAGAAAGCUUGCAAGGCUUGCACAGCACAAAGCCAUCCACAAGAGAAAGAGGAGGGAAAACGUAUCCUCUUAGGUCCCCUCCAGACUCUCAUUUACCACUGGCUAAGUGUCCCCCAUAAGAAGGUAACUCCCCUGCAUUCUCAGGUUGCAUUGGCGUGGUCCUUUAGCAGUCACACAGAAAUCCCAGUCCCAGGGGUCAAUAUGUGACAUCUUAGCUGAGUCCAGGGCAUAAGAGGCAACUCAGUGUAGGUGGAGCCAAGAGUCCCAAACAGACCUGAGAGGCACGCAAGUCUGUGUCCAAUCCAGGAAUCAGUGAUUCACCCCUGGGGUCCUGGCAGUGUAAGAAGAGCCUGGAGGGAAAGCAGCUCCCAUUCCAGAAUGCCUCCCGAGGGUAGCAGCAUUUUCACAUCUGCACUUUUCUCAUGAAAGGGCGAGGAAGAAGAAACAGAACUCUCUGCGGAAACACCCACCAUGCCCCAUCCAGUGUUGUGUGGCUGCCUUGCACCAUUCUCUCCUUUGAGAGAAUUAAAAUUCUCUUUGAAAUUAAAAAUGAUGUUUACUGGAAACUUCUGCUGUUCAGAAGCAAAACAUGUCCAUUGUUGAAAAACCAAAAACCUCCACUGAUGUUGCCAUCCAGAAACAAUCACCGCAGACACUUUGGUGUAUGUAUUUUUAGAACUUCCUCUCUCUCUCUCUUUCAUCCUCUCUAACCAAACUUGGAUAAUAUUAUGUGCACAUAUAUUGAAUUUCUUUUCAAUACAUUAAAUAAGCUUCUACAGCCUCA
ensembl:lncRNA novel transcript, antisense to FRMPD2